rnacentral:lncRNA from 1 species
GCCGAAAAAGUCAUAGAUCUUACUCGAGUGGCCAUGCAUGGCCGAAAAAUAGCAUGAGAAACCAUGGGAGGCGAGUAAACCGCAUUUGGUUCACUUGAAGGCCUCAAAACAAUGACACACGUUCAUGAGGGAGCCAUAAGCGCUGGCAGGUGGCGAGGCCCCCAUGGAUUCAGACAAGGAGAUGACCUGAGAAGGUGGAUAGGGUUCAUCGAAGAGAAAGGGAGAGGAGAAGGUUCUAGAGAGAACCAUAUGUAGAGAGAGAGAUGAAAGACCUGUUGAGAGAGAAUGAG